AUUGAACGCUGGCGGCAAGCCUAACACAUGCAAGUCGAACGGUAACAGAUCGCUGAGAUUCCUUCGGGAUGAUCUUGAUGCUGACGAGUGGGCGGACGGGUGAGUAACGCGUAGGAAUCUACCUGGUAGUGGGGGAUAGCUCGGGGAAACUCGAAUUAAUACCGCAUACGACCUAAGGGUGAAAGUGGGGGAUCUUCGGACCUCACGCUAUCAGAGGAGCCUGCGUUGGAUUAGCUAGUUGGUGGGGUAAAGGCCCACCAAGGCGACGAUCCAUAGCUGGUCUGAGAGGAUGAUCAGCCACACUGGAACUGAGACACGGUCCAG
rnacentral:rRNA from 1 species